AUGGUCGUCGUGAAGGUGCCAGGGAAAAGAGACCUUCCUGGACAUGCUGUGGGCCUAGUACUUCCCCACCCCCGCCCCAACAGUGUGCCAACACUCCCGUCUUGCCUCUCUAUUAUAUUCUCUCAUUUUUUCUUAAAACAAUUUUUAUUUCACAAUUUCUUGCUCUUGGUUUCUUGGUUUUCCUUUUCCUACUUCACCAUGAGCUUCCACUUAACUUUAUCGAACUCUCUGAACCAGCGGCUUUACAACUUUUCACAGUUGAUCAUCUCCCCACCCUCUCGCCACAACCCUUGUCCUCACUUCCCACCUUACCUAUCUGAGGUUUCACGGGUCCUCACCCCAGUGGUCUUCAAACCAGGUGCCCACACGGUACAGGAAGAAUUUCCAAGAGAGGACUUAUGCAAAAGAUAGUUUUAAGGAAAACUUCUGUCUUCAUAUUGCUUACUUGUCUUAAAUUGAUCCCCCCUAAGAACUCACAGGCAUUUAUGAUACCCCUUCUCCUACUACACAUGAGAAAGGCAUAUGCCUCACUAAUCCCAAGACUUACAAUGGAAAAUAAAAUAAUCGAUGGUCUCUAUUUUCUAUGACUUGAUCUAGAAGCAAGUAAUUGGGUGAAAUAACUUUUGAAAGUGUCUGUCCUUACUUACCUUAUUAAGAACUUUUAAUAAAUGUUAAUUUUAUGUUUUUAACAGUUAUUUAUAAAAAUUUUAAAUAAAUGUAUGUUUUGGUAAAAAGCUUUACCACUGUUCCUCCAUAUCUGUGGUUUGCAUCCUCAGAUCCAACCAACCCCAGAACAUGUAAUACUAUAGUAUUUACUAUUGAAAAAAAAAAAAAUUCGUGUGUAAGUGGACCUGAGCAGUUCAAACCUGUGUUGUUCAAGGGUCAGCUCUGUACAUUUGUUGCAGAGAAAUGUGUUAAGGCAAUAAACAAAAAAACUUGUGAGUAUAAAAAUAUGAAAUUCAAUUACCAGAGAGGAUAAUUGGGCUAGAAGUACAGGUUCAAAUAGAAAGGAAGGUGUACCUGUUCAACUUAAGAAACACUUUUUAUGUAUCUUUAAAUGGAUGACAAUGGGUACCAAAUUUGUAUGGCUUUAGAAUUCAUUGAUUAUUGCUAUAUCUGAAUGUUUGUGUCUCCUCAAAAUUUAUAAGUUAAAAACAAUCCUCAAUGUAUUGGUGUUUGGAAUAUUAACUGGCCACCCUCUGGCAUCGAUCACCUACUCAUCUGUGGCAUUGAUCAGACAAGGAGGAUGAGAGGGAGAGAGGAGAAUGUCUCUGGUCCCUACAAAAAGCUAUACCUUGGAAUUUCACUGGGAAAAAUGAGGACAAACAGUGCAAAUUGAAGAACAUUGAUGGUUGUAGAAGGGUAAGCAAACUUAUUCUGUAAAUGGCCAAGUAAUACCUAUUUUAAGCUUUUCAGGUCAUAUGCCAUACAGUUUCUAUGACAACUCCACCCCUGCUACUGUGAGCAGCCGUAGACCAUAUGUAAAUAGAUAGGCCUGUCUGUGUCCCAAUAAAUCUUCAUUUAUAAAAGCAGACACUAGACUGGAUUUAGCCAAAUCCUGAUGUAAUGCAUGACCCAUGACCCACAAGAAGCCUGAUGCUGUAUUGGGCAGCAGUGACAUCUUGAAGUUACCUAAAGGUAUUCCUUGCCUCACAUGGUCAAGAUGCAGGCCUUGGAAUUGAUCCUUUGACUCUCACUGAAGGCUAAGGUUCUGACAUCUUUUGGUUCCUCACAGCAUCACAGGUUUUUUGAGAGAGAGCAAGGAGAAAAUCACUGUCUUUAUGAACUGUUGCAAGUCACACAUUGUCAUUUUUUAUCACAUUCCAUUUAUUAGAAAUGAGUCAUUAAAUUCUGACCUACAGAAAACACCCUUUGUGGGGAGAAUUGUCAGAGAACCUGUGGACAUAUUUUAAAGCCACUACAAAUCUGUUGUGAUAUCUUGUUUUCGUUGAUAUGGUCUGAGAAAUCCCAGAUAUAUACUUGGAAAAGCAAGUAUUUUGAUAACCUUCUCAGUUUGUGGCUAUUCUCAGAUGUGACACCAAAUGGUGGAUUUUUAAAGGUGUGUUGCAUUGUGGAAUCUGAAACCAUAUACAUGAACUUUCAAAAUUCUGUUACAUUAAACUUUAUUUGUUUAUUUUGCACUUUGAAUCAGUAUUUUACCCAUAUAUUUUGUAACAUGACGCAUUUUGUAACAUGAUGCAUUUUAUAACAUGAUGCAUUGGUCAUUUGGAAUAUUGAUUCACUGAAUUAACAGUUCUUUCAAAUGGUGGCAUCUUUCAUUAUACAGUAGAAAAUAUUAUAUUUGCUGUUAUCACUAAUCAUCAGAAAAGUCUUUGAGCACUGGAAAACUGCCAAGCUUACACUGGCAGAUACAGUUUUUCUAAAAUUCCAAUUUUUACUGCAAAGCUUGAAUUUUAUCACUGGCAACAAAACUGUCAGUUGUUUUCCUUGAAGUGAUAGCCUCACUGGUUCAUUGUUGAGAAAAUAUCUGCCAAAUACUCAAUCUAAAUAAACAUAGUUUUUCAUCAAUUCAAGUAAAAAUGUUAUACUCUAAAAAAAUGGCUAGGUCAGCUCACAGCUCAACUGUACAAAUGCUUUUUUUUUUUUUUUUGGAAACAACUAUCAUACUUCAGGGUGUAGUAGAAGUACUUUUUGCAUACUUCCCACUUCAUCAAACAGAAUAUAAGAAAUGAUGUACACUCAAGGGAUAAUAUUUAAUAAAAUCAAGAAUUUGUAUUGCUUCAUAACAAAUGUUGUAAGGUAAAACUCUUCUCUGGCUUUUUUUUCUUUUUUUUUUAAAUUUUUUAAUUAAUUAAUUAAUUUAUUUAUUUUUGUCUUUUUGUCUUUUGUUGUUGUUGUUGCUAUUUCUUGGGCCGCUCCCGCAGCAUAUGGAGGUUCCCAGGCCAGGGGUUGAAUCGGAGCUGUAGCCACCAGCCUACGNNNNNNNNNNNNNNNNNNNNNNNNNNNNNNNNNNNNUUUUUUUUUAUCCUGCCAGUGAUUAGCAGUGAAGUACAAUGCACAUUAUAGUAUUAUACUGAUUUCACAUUAAACUAAUACAUUAUACAACAUACAGUUUGGGACCCCUGACUUGAUUUGUACUUAGCCACAGAAAAGUUUUGCCCAUCAUUGCUUUUGUACUAUUGAUGCAAAAGAAUAAGGCAAUAAUGUCUCAGUAUUAUUAUGAAAAUAGUUUAGAGUUUUCAAAUACUCAUAAAAUGGCUUCAGUGACCCCCACAGGCCCAAGGCCCAUACUUGGGGUAUUUCUGUCUUAAGGGGUUGGCUAGGUGCCAAUUUCUCCAGAAAAAGUCAGUUAAUCCCGCAAGGUUUAACCUUGAUCUUUUAUCUCCCUGCCUCCACCCCUCAUCACCCCUUCCCACUCCCUCAUCCCCCACCACCAAUUCCUUGACCCAUUAGGCUGAGCAGUUGUACUUCUUUUCUUGGGAGAGACUAUUUUCUGACUUCUUCAGUUUUCUGAAGAAUAUUAGAAAAAUAUUUAUUUUAUUUUUUAUUUUUUCUGCUGUACAGCAUGGGGACCAAGUUACACAUACAUGUAUACAUACUUUUUCCUCCCAUUGUUGUGUUGCAGUGUAAGUAUCUAGACAUAGUUCUCAAUGCUACACAGCAGGAUCUCAUUGUAAAUCCAUUCCAAGAGCAAUAGUUUGCAUCCAUUAACCCCAAACUUCCGAUCCCUCCCACGCCCUCCCUCUCCUGUUGGGCAGCCACAAGUCUAUUCUCCAAGUCCAUGAUUUUCUUUUCUCUGGAAAUGUUCAUCUGUGCUGUAAAUAAGAUCCAGUUAUGUGAUAUCAUAUGGUAUUUGUCUUUCUCUGACUUAUUUCCGUCAGUACGAGAGUCUCUAGUUCCAUCCCUGUUGCAGCAAAUGGCAAUGUCAUUCUUUCUUAUGGCUGAGUAGUAUUCCAUUGUGUAUAUAUACCACAUCUUCCUAAUCCAAUCAUCUGUUGAUGGACAUAAUGCAAUCCCUAUCAAAUUACCCAUGACAUUUUUCACAGAACUAGAACAAACAAUCCAGAAAUUUAUAUGGAACCACAAAAGACCCAGAAUUGCCAAAGAAAUCCUGAGAGACAAAAACCAAGCAGGAGGCAUAACUCUCCCAG
rnacentral:lncRNA from 1 species